AAUUGAGCGUGGAAAGGGAGAAGUAGUGAUCAUUUCCCUGUUUUAGAGAGCUGAUGGUCGGUGGAAAUCAGCACAUAGAUGAUCGCGAAUUACGCCCCUCGAGCAUCUUUUUUCGAUUGAAUUAGAUUAGAUUCAAAAGGGAAAAGACGGUGAUGAGCCGUUAUGUGAAUGAGGUGGUAGGCUAUUUGGCCUGCAACUAGGGUGGUAUCGCGAUGAUCAAAAUCGUCCCUUAU
rnacentral:ncRNA from 1 species